rnacentral:misc_RNA from 1 species
AACCUUAUGGACCUGCGGGCGUAUACCUGCGGAAGGAUCAUUAUCGAAUAAACUUGGUCAAGCUGUUGCUGGUCCUUCGGGGCAUGUGCACGCUUGCCACCAAUUUUAACCACCUGUGCACCUUUUGUAGAUUGGAAACGUUUCUCGAGGCAACUCGGAUUGAGGACUGCUGUGCGCAAGCCAGCUGUUCUUGUGUUUCUCAAUCUAUGUUUUCAUAUACUCCUAAUGUAUGUAUCAGAA